UAGGGAAUCUUCGGCAAUGGACGAAAGUCUGACCGAGCAACGCCGCGUGAGUGAAGAAGGUUUUCGGAUCGUAAAGCUCUGUUGUAAGAGAAGAACGGGUGUGAGAGUGGAAAGUUCACACUGUGACGGUAUCUUACCAGAAAGGGACGGCUAACUACGUGCCAGCAGCCGCGGUAAUACGUAGGUCCCGAGCGUUGUCCGGAUUUAUUGGGCGUAAAGCGAGCGCAGGCGGUUAGAUAAGUCUGAAGUUAAAGGCUGUGGCUUAACCAUAGUACGCUUUGGAAACUGUUUAACUUGAGUGCAGAAGGGGAGAGUGGAAUUCCAUGUGUAGCGGUGAAAUGCGUAGAUAUAUGGAGGAACACCGGUGGCGAAAGCGGCUCUCUGGUCUGUAACUGACGCUGAGGCUCGAAAGCGUGGGGAGCGAACAGGAUUAGAUACCCUGGUAGUCCACGCCGUAAACGAUGAGUGCCAGGUGUUAGGCCCUUUCCGGGGCUUAGUGCCGCAGCUAACGCAUUAAGCACUCCGCCUGGGGAGUACGACCGCAAGGUUG
rnacentral:rRNA from 1 species